rnacentral:rRNA from 1 species
UGGGGAAUUUUGGACAAUGGGCGAAAGCCUGAUCCAGCAAUGCCGCGUGUGUGAAGAAGGCCUUCGGGUUGUAAAGCACUUUUGUCCGGAAAGAAAUCCUUGGCUCUAAUACAGUCGGGGGAUGACGGUACCGGAAGAAUAAGCACCGGCUAACUACGUGCCAGCAGCCGCGGUAAUACGUAGGGUGCAAGCGUUAAUCGGAAUUACUGGGCGUAAAGCGUGCGCAGGCGGUUUGCUAAGACCGAUGUGAAAUCCCCGGGCUCAACCUGGGAACUGCAUUGGUGACUGGCAGGCUAGAGUAUGGCAGAGGGGGGUAGAAUUCCACGUGUAGCAGUGAAAUGCGUAGAGAUGUGGAGGAAUACCGAUGGCGAAGGCAGCCCCCUGGGCCAAUACUGACGCUCAUGCACGAAAGCGUGGGGAGCAAACAGGAUUAGAUACCCUGGUAGUCCACGCCCUAAACGAUGUCAACUAGUUGUUGGGGAUUCAUUUCCUUAGUAACGUAGCUAACGCGUGAAGUUGACCGCCUGGGGAGUACGGUCGCAAGAUUAAAAGUCAAAUGAAUUGACGGGGUCAUAGCUGUUUCCU